UUUCAUUAAAGGCAACAUUUAAAAUAUUAAAAGUAGUGUAUAUAAAAACCAAAGAUUUGAGAAAAACACAAAAUGUUGCGAAUCAUAUUUAAAUCUUUAAUAUUUCUUUGAUUGCAUACACAAACCUCUAAGCUUUUAUAAGUACAAAAAGGUCUGCCUGCAAAAGUAAUAAAGAAAAAAACAAAUAUGAGAAUUGAUAUCAAAAUAAAAUGCAUACAAAAUAAAUAGGAUAAAAGAAAAAUAGUGCGCAGAGAUUUUGAUAUUUCCUAACUUUUGCUUUAAUUGAAAUGCUUAUCGAUGCUCACAAGUACCUCAUUUGGAAGGCAGAAAGGGUCAUUCAUCAUUUAAAAUGAAUACAAUAAAAAUAGCUGAUGGUUUUAAAUUUAAAAAAUCAACAAAAUAUAUUCCUGACAAAUAUA